rnacentral:rRNA from 1 species
AGUGAACGCUGGCGGUAGGCCUAACACAUGCAAGUCGAACGGCAGCACAGGAGAGCUUGCUCUCUGGGUGGCGAGUGGCGGACGGGUGAGGAAUACAUCGGAAUCUACUCUGUCGUGGGGGAUAACGUAGGGAAACUUACGCUAAUACCGCAUACGACCUACGGGUGAAAGCAGGGGACCUUCGGGCCUUGCGCGAUUGAAUGAGCCGAUGUCGGAUUAGCUAGUUGGCGGGGUAAAGGCCCACCAAGGCGACGAUGCGUAGCUGGUCUGAGGGGAUAAUCAGCCACACUGGAACUGAGACACGGUCCAGACUCCUACGGGAGGCAGCAGUGGGGAAUAUUGGACAAUGGGCGCAAGCCUGAUCCAGCCAUACCGCGUGGGUGAAGAAGGCCUUCGGGUUGUAAAGCCCUUUUGUUGGGAAAGAAAUCCAGCUGGCUAAUACCCGGUUGGGAUGACGGUACCCAAAGAAUAAGCACCGGCUAACUUCGUGCCAGCAGCCGCCGUAA